rfam:Smittium mucronatum strain ALG-7-W6 scaffold-2141, whole genome shotgun sequence.
GGUUGUGUAGUGUAAUGGUUAGCACCCAAGACUCUGAAUCUUGUAAUCCGAGUUCGAGUCUCGGCACGACCU